AUCAGGAUGGCCGAGUGGUCUAAGGCGUGAGAUUUUGAAUUUUCCUUGCCCAUUACACUGGGCUGCGGGCGGUCUGCUGCUCUCUGAGGGCAUGGGAUCGAAUUCCAUUUUUGACA
rnacentral:tRNA from 1 species